CAGUCGCCGCGGUAAUACGUAGGUGGCAAGCGUUGUCCGGAAUUAUUGGGCGUAAAGGGCUCGCAGGCGGUUUCUUAAGUCUGAUGUGAAAGCCCCCGGCUCAACCGGAGAGGGUCAUUGGAAACUGGGAAACUUGAGUGCAGAAGAGGAGAGUGGAAUUCCACGUGUAGCGGUGAAAUGCGUAGAGAUGUGGAGGAACACCAGUGGCGAAGGCGACUCUCUGGUCUGUAACUGACGCUGAGGAGCGAAAGCGUGGGGAGCGAACAGGAUUAGAUACCCCUGUAGUCCCUGUCUCUUAUAC
rnacentral:rRNA from 1 species